rnacentral:rRNA from 1 species
UACGAAGGGGGCUAGCGUUGUUCGGAAUUACUGGGCGUAAAGCGCACGUAGGCGGAUAUUUAAGUCAGGGGUGAAAUCCCAGAGCUCAACUCUGGAACUGCCUUUGAUACUGGGUAUCUGGAGUAUGGAAGAGGUAAGUGGAAUUCCGAGUGUAGAGGUGAAAUUCGUAGAUAUUCGGAGGAACACCAGUGGCGAAGGCGGCUUACUGGUCCAUUACUGACGCUGAGGUGCGAAAGCGUGGGGAGCAAACAGG